ACGGAAGGCAGCAGUGAGGAAUAUUGGUCAAUGGACGCAAGUCUGAACCAGCCAUGCCGCGUGCAGGAAUAAGGCCCUAUGGGUCGUAAACUGCUUUUGUGGUGGAGCAAUAAGUCGUACGUGUACGGCGAUGAGAGUACAUCACGAAUAAGCAUCGGCUAACUCCGUGCCAGCAGCCGCGGUAAUACGGAGGAUGCAAGCGUUAUCCGGAUUUAUUGGGUUUAAAGGGUGCGUAGGCUGUGGUCCAAGUCAGGGGUGAAAGCCCGGAGCUCAACUCCGGAACUGCCUUUGAUACUGGAUUGCUGGAAUACGGAUGCCGUGGGAGGAAUGAGUAGUGUAGCGGUGAAAUGCAUAGAUAUUACUCAGAACACCGAUUGCGAAGGCAUCUCACGAAUCCGUCAUUGACGCUGAGGCACGAAGGCGUGGGGAUCAAACAGGAUUAGAUACCCUGGUA
rnacentral:rRNA from 1 species